AUCUGCUCAGUGGGUGUUAUCACAUUGUCGUAAGCUUCAAGUAGCUUCUGUAUCAGACUCCCGAUUGCGCCUGCAUCUUCGUGGUUCGUUUUACGACCUCGGAUUUGCACGCCUGCACGGUUGAGUCUUCACGUCGCUCCUCGAAGUACCGCGAUUUCCAAAUUGGGGGGCAAUCGAAUAGGUCAGACGAGGUAAUUUGUCGCUUCCAUAUAAAGGCACCGCAGAUAGUGCUUCAACUUUUAAUUUUUUCCUGCGCUUCGCUAUUAAUCUCAGAAGAAAUUUGUGUAAAAAGAAGAUUCCAAUUCCAAACUUCAUCGGGUUCCUUCACUAAAUUUUCAUUGUACAGUUUGUCUGCGAGAAGAGAAAGACUGAUACCAUCCAAUGAUGUAAAUGCUGCAUUUUUCACCAAAUCAGUAUCCAAUUCCUCUUCAUCGCCCCAGCCGGUUUUCCUAGAACGAGGUGGAACUAUCGGUCUUUGCAUAGGCACAGACUUUCCAGAUGACAAAGAAAUUGGACUCUCGAGAGGAUCAUCGUCAGAUCUAUUCUCUUCCUGCAAGUUAUUCUGACCUGCACGUCUACCUAAGCGAGGGAACCAAGCAUUCGGAGCCAAGCAUCAAAGUAACGGGAGAGAGUUCCUAUUCUAAGGCACUUUGAAUCAGACUUCACGAUGCAUUUGACAAGAGUAUGUGACAGUUAUUAAAUACCAUAUGUUUGCAAGCGGUAACCAUGACAACUUUACGACACGUUGCAUGUGGGGUUCGUUCGGAAAUCUAUCCACAAGAGUGGGAAUAUCUGACAUCGCGCGUUAUACAUGAAUGCAUACCUAGUAAAGUCGCCUUUACAAAGCCGCCAAGGUAGCAGAUCGAUCUUGUCGUGCAGUACAAAUGACAUAUCUGGACUGACAAUGUAUGGUGUGCCGGCACCAGAGCCGCGUGUCAACAGUCUUCUUUCCUCGUCAUAACAACAGUGCUGCGCGCCGAUGCUCUCGCUUCCCUGCGCCGGUAAGGAUCGCACGCAGUAAAAAGCGCCUUGUUUGUAGACGAGCCGCUGCGGAUCGUUGCUCGCAUCGCGCCAUCGAAAUUUCUUUUGUCGAUUCCUGUCCCAGAUCAGAUCAUCGUAAAAGAUGUCGUUGGGAUAUCGACAAGGGCACGCCGGUAGUUCGUCGAUGGAUCCUGCAGGAUAUAUCCAAAGAGUUUGAUCGGAAACACAUCCAUUCGAAUCCGCGUAUUAAGAGGCAAUUCAUCAAAGAAAAGAGACCGAUGACCGGCGUGACUAUGCGAUACGUAAAAGGCUGACACGAUCGCGACGACAUCAAAGAACGCCGGCGUUUGGCGCAUGGAUAGAACGGUGGAGGGGAAGAAAAGGGACGACGAUCCCCGAGCGGGGGAGAGAAGUUUACUUCUGAGAAACGGCACGCCGCAAGAUCGUUUCCCGUCAAUGGCGUAGCCGCCUGCCGGUAGCGAGGCGGAUUUUGGAAUUUGCCGAAUAAAAUUUGAGGAAAAAGAAUGACGAACCUUCUCUCGGGGUGCGCGAUUGUUCUCUUCUAAUUGGUCGAAGGAUGCCCAUGACAAAUCUUUGAGUCCUCGCUGAUGGCCAUUCUUACUUUCAAGGAAGUCUAGUUUCGGAUAUGCGUUAACAUCGCUCAGAGAUAUUAGCACCGACAAUAGCAGUAACAACCAGGACAGGACGUUUCUCAUCAUCACUGUCGAAAUGAAUAUUCACGUGUGAAAAAAAAAGAAUCAAAUCAGAAGGAUGGAAAACGUGCAUGAGUCAGAUGCUGAUAGUGGAGACUGUGUCUAAACAUAAUCCAAUUGAUUGUGAGACGUUGCCAUCUUUAUUUUAGAAACCACCUUUAAUCGGGAAGACACUUUUGUAUUUCUACAAGUAUUAAUAUCGAUAUUAGUAUUAUUAGUAGAUAUUUAUUCAUUUGUCAAGCAAAAUAAAAAGUUUACAUAACUAAGAAAAACAUAAAAGUAACGCGUCGAACUUAUAAAAGUAAUAUUUUUUUCUGUUUCAAUUUGUCCGAGCCAGAAUUAUUGUAAAAUCAUGGUACAGUAAAUUUUUUAAGAAUAAAAUUAUACAAGAA